rnacentral:lncRNA from 1 species
AAUUAGAUAUUACGGAACAUUAAAAAAACUUAAAUUCAGUAUUUAAAACGUAAGUAUAUUUAAGGUUGAUAUGAACCCUCAAUUAAUUUGUUUCUGAUCCUAGAGAUGGCUCUACUGUAGCAUGCCAUUGUGGUAACAUUUUCAACUUAAUUGUAGAUUUCUACAUGAUGACUCAGUAAUA